CCAGUAUGCAGCCUAUUUUGUUUAACUAUCUAGAUUUUCCCCUUUAAUUGUCACCCUUGAAGGUUGAAAAGUUAGGAAGUUUUUAAAGGGUCUUCGUGCUGACAUCUAUGACUGGAUCGUGAUAAUGAGACCCAUAUCAUAUGCGAAGGUGCUUGAACAUGCCAGUUGGUCAAAGAUCUCAUCUCAGCCAAGCACCAAUGCAUUUCCCGAGUCCGUACCUAACAACAACCCCAACAACUUAGGAGGAGAUUGCCUGACCUAGUAAAUAGCCACCCUAAUAAACGAACUAGAGUUGCCCUUCCUCCUGCCUUGCCUCCACCUAUAGUUCAACCUACCUGACUUAACCACUUUAUAAAUUAUGCAUGCCAAUACCAAUACAUAUUUCUCAUGUCUAUACAUUAUUUCAUGCUUAAUUAUUUUUCAACUGUCAU
rnacentral:lncRNA from 1 species